ACCAGUGUUGACAGUGCAGAGUAAAACCAGUGUUGACAGUGCAGAGAAAACCCAGGUUGACAGUCCGGAGUAAAACCCAGUGUUGACAGUGCAGAGUAAAGACCAGUGUUGACAGUGCAGAGUAAAGACCAGUGUUGACAGUGCAGAGUAAAGACCAGUGUUGACAGUCCGGAGUAAAACCCAGUGUUGACAGUGCAGAGUAAAACCCAGUGUUGACAGUGCAGAGUAAAGACCAGUGUUGACAGUCCGGAGUAAAACCCAGUGUUGACAGUGCAGAGGAAAACCCAGUGUUGACAGUGCAGAGUAAAGACCCAGUGUUGACAGUGCAGAGUAAAGACCCAG
ensembl:lncRNA